rnacentral:rRNA from 1 species
AUUGAACGCUGGCGGCAUGCCUUACACAUGCAAGUCGAACGGCAGCACGGGAGCAAUCCUGGUGGCGAGUGGCGAACGGGUGAGUAAUAUAUCGGAACGUGCCCAGACGUGGGGGAUAACUACUCGAAAGAGUGGCUAAUACCGCAUACGAUCUACGGAUGAAAGCGGGGGAUCGCAAGACCUCGCGCGUCUGGAGCGGCUGAUGGCAGAUUAGGUAGUUGGUGGGAUAAAAGCCUACCAAGCCAACGAUCUGUAGCUGGUCUGAGAGGAUGAUCAGCCACACUGGGACUGAGACACGGCCCAGACUCCUACGGGAGGCAGCAGUGGGGAAUUUUGGACAAUGGGCGAAAGCCUGAUCCAGCCAUUCCGCGUGCAGGAUGAAGGCCCUCGGGUUGUAAACUGCUUUUGUACAGAACGAAAAGCUCUGGCUAAUACCUGGAGUCCAUGACGGUACUGUAAGAAUAAGCACCGGCUA